rnacentral:rRNA from 1 species
UACAGAGGUCUCAAGCGUUGUUCGGAUUCAUUGGGUGUAAAGGGUGCGUAGGCGGCGCGGUAAGUCGGGUGUGAAAUCUCGGGCUUAACUCCGAAACUGCAUUCGAUACUGCCGUGCUUGAGGACUGGAGAGGAGACUGGAAUUUACGGUGUAGCGGUGAAAUGCGUAGAUAUCGUAAGGAAGACCAGUGGCGAAGGCGGGUCUCUGGACAGUUCCUGACGCUGAGGCAACGAAGGCCAGGGGGAGCAAACGGG